AACGAACGCUGGCGGCAUGCCUAACACAUGCAAGUCGAACGAGACCUUCGGGUCUAGUGGCGCACGGGGGCGGAACGCGGGGGAACCUGCCCUUAGGUUCGGAAUAACUCCCCGAAAGGGGUGCUAAUACCGGAUAAGGUCUUCGGACCAAAGAUUUAUCGCCUUGGGAUGGGCCCGCGUUGGAUUCGCUAGUUGGUAGGGUAAAAGCCUACCAAGGCGACGAUCCAUAGCUGGUCUGAGAGGAUGAUCAGCCACACUGGGACUGAGACACGGCCCAGACGCCUACGGGAGGCAGCAGUGGGGAAUAUUGGACAAGGGGCGAAAGCCUGAUCCAGCAAUGCCGGGUGAGUGAUGAAGGCCUUAGGGUUGUAAAGCUCUUUUACCCGGGAUGAUAAUGACAGUACCGGGAGAAUAAGCUCCGGCUAACUCCGUG
rnacentral:rRNA from 1 species